UCCCGGAUCCGGGUCGCUGCGUCCGCGUCGUCUCUCCCAGAUGAGAUCGAAGGAUUCUCCCCACCUCCCCUCUGCUGGCGGAAGGAGCAGAAUGUUCCAUUUUCCGUGGAAUAACGGGGUCGUGAACUGAAGUCCGGGUGCUGCCCGCGCCUGCCGUCCUCCCUUCUUGCCGUGGCCUCUUCGGCCUCCCUUCGAGGCCUUCCCCAGGUCAUCUUCAGCUUCACUCAUAUCAGGAACCCACAGAUGUAGCCACACCUUGAAGCCAGUCAUCAGAUGAAAUUACUCCAUCUGCAAAAUUUUGGCUUGAAAGGCCAUGUGGGGACUCAGUGAGAAGACAGCCAUCUGCAAGCCAGGAAGAGAGCUCUCACCUGAAGCUGAAUAGACCAGCACCUUGAUCUUGAACUUCUAGCCUCCAGAACUGUGAGAAAUAAAUUUCUGCAUUUAAGCCA